UAACUGAACCACUGUGACUAGUCAAGAAUAAUCAACAACGGAGAGAGUACGGCACUCUACAAUGAUGGAAGACUCUACGAUUUAAUAUUAACGAGAAGAUUUAUUUAAGUCUUUUUUUAAUUUACAUCUUAUGCGAAUCUUUAAGUUGAUCAGGGCAUGAGUUCAUCUCAAAUCAUUAGGCAUCCAAGUUCAAAACUGAUCACAGUUGGCCAGUUAAGCAAGAG
rnacentral:lncRNA from 1 species